CCUACGGGUGGCAGCAGUGGGGAAUAUUGGACAAUGGGGGGAACCCUGAUCCAGCCAUGCCGCGUGUGUGAAGAAGGCCCUCGGGUUGUAAAGCACUUUCAGUGAGGAAGAACGCCUGGUGGUUAAUACCCAUCAGGAAAGACAUCACUCACAGAAGAAGCACCGGCUAACUCCGUGCCAGCAGCCGCGGUAAUACGGAGGGUGCGGGCGUUAAUCGGAAUUACUGGGCGUAAAGCGCGCGUAGGUGGCUUGAUCAGCCGGUUGUGAAAGCCCCGGGCUCAACCUGGGAACGGCAUCCGGAACUGUCAAGCUAGAGUGCAGGAGAGGAAGGUAGAAUUCCCGGUGUAGCGGUGAAAUGCGUAGAGAUCGGGAGGAAUACCAGUGGCGAAGGCGGCCUUCUGGACUGACACUGACACUGAGGUGCGAAAGCGUGGGUAGCAAACAGGAUUAGAUACCCGAGUAGUC
rnacentral:rRNA from 1 species